CCCUUAGAUGUUCUGGGCCGCACGCGCGCUACACUGAUAAUGUCAACAAGCUUUACCUUGGCCGAUAGGUCUGGGCAAUCUUCGAACUAUUAUCGUGAUGGGGCUAGAUUAUUGCAACUAUUAAUCUUAAACGAGGAAUUCCUAGUAAGCGCAAGUCAGCAGCUUGCGUUGAUUACGUCCCUGCCCUUUGUACACACCGCCCGUCGCUACUACCGAUUGAAUGGUUUAGUGAGAUCUUCGGAUUGGCGCCACUGCGGCUCAGCAAUGGGCUCGGUGGAUGCCGAAAAGUUGAUCAAACUUGAUCAUUUAGAGGAAGUAAAAGUCGUAACA
rnacentral:rRNA from 1 species